rnacentral:tRNA from 2 species
GCCCUCGUAGCUCAGGGGAUAGAGCGUCUGCCUCCGGAGCAGAAAGCCACAGGUUCGAAUCCUGCCGAGGGCACCA